rnacentral:tRNA from 1 species
UUCUCUGUGGCUUAGAUGGUAAAGAAUCUGCCUGCAAUGCAGGAGACCUGGGUUAGGAAGAUCCCAUGGAGAAG